GAUGAACGCUGGCGGCGUGCCUAAUACAUGCAAGUCGAGCGAACGGACGAUAAGCUUGCUUCUCUGAUGUUAGCGGCGGACGGGUGAGUAACACGUGGAUAACCUACCUAUAAGACUGGGAUAACUUCGGGAAACCGGAGCUAAUACCGGAUGAUAUUUUGAACCGCAUGGUUCAAAAGUUAAAGACGGUCUUGCUGUCUCUUAUAGAUGGAUCCGCGCUGCAUUAGCUAGUUGGUAAGGUAACGGCUUACCAAGGCAACGAUGCAUAGCCGACCUGAGAGGGUGAUCGGCCACACUGGAACUGAGACACGGUCCAGACUCCUACGGGAGGCAGCAGUAGGGAAUCUUCCGCAAUGGGCGAAAGCCUGACGGAGCAACGCCGCGUGAGUGAUGAAGGUCUUCGGAUCGUAAAACUCUGUUAUUAGGGAAGAACAUAUGUGUAAGUAACUGUGCACAUCUUGACGGUACCUAAUCAGAAAGCCACGGCUAACUACGUG
rnacentral:rRNA from 1 species